AAGUGAUUCUGCGCCGACAAUUUAGCGGGGCUCAAGCACACCGCCGAAGCUGUGGCAUUCGCGUGUUAGCCCGGCCCUUUGUGGUUAAGGUGGAUGGCGGUCCUUGCCGCUGUGGUUUCGGCCACGGCUGCUCGGACUGUGGCCGCUGGCGCCUUUAGGGUCCAGGUACGCGGAUGGGUAGGGGAGCGUCGGGUGGCGAGAGAAGCGGCGGAGUGAUCCAGCCGUGGAUGCCACUCGAGUGAGAAUGCAGGCAUGAGUAGCGAAAGAGGGGUGAGAAACCCCUCCGCCGAAUGACCAAGGGUUCCUGGGGCAGGCUAAUCCGCCCAGGGUAAGUCGGGACCUAAGGCGAGGCCGACAGGCGUAGUCGAUGGACAACGGGUUGAUAUUCCCGUACCCGCUUAAAUGCGCCCAUGCCGAAUCUGGCGAUGCUAAGCAGCCAACGCUGGUGGAUCCUUCGGGAGAAGCCGGCCGCGGAAGCGACCCAGACCGGUAGUAGGCAAGCCGAAGGGGUGACGCAGGAGGGUAGCUCUACCGGGCGAUGGUUGUUCCCGGGGUAAAGGUGUAGGGCGAUGCGUAGGCAAAUCCGCGCAUCAUCAAGCCUGAGACCUGACGCCGAGCUGAUUUAGGCGAAGUGAGUGAUCCCAUGCUGCCAAGAAAAGCCUCGCGGUGAGUGUCUUUGCGGCCCGUACCCUAAACCGACUCAGGUGGUCAGGUAGAGAAUACCAAGGCGAUCGGGUGAACCGUGGUUAAGGAACUAGGCAAAUUAUCUCCGUAACUUUGGGAGAAGGAGAGCCGUGUUCGGUGACGAGACUUGCUCUCCGAGCUGAAUGCGGUCGCAGAUACCAGGGGAAAGCGACUGUUUACUAAAAACACAGGUCCGUGCAAAGUCGCAAGACGACGUAUACGGACUGACGCCUGCCCGGUGCUGGAACGUUAAGGGGACGGGUUAGCAGCCUUCGGGUUGCGAAGCUCAGAACUUAAGCGCCAGUAAACGGCGGUGGUAACUAUAACCAUCCUAAGGUAGCGAAAUUCCUUGUCGGGUAAGUUCCGACCUGCACGAAUGGCGUAACGACUUUCCCACUGUCUCAACCACGGACCCGGCGAAAUUGCACUACGAGUAAAGAUGCUCGUUACGCGCAGCAGGACGGAAAGACCCCGGGACCUUCACUGCAGCUUGACAUUGGCGUUUGGGACGUCUUGUGUAGGAUAGGUGGGAGACUUUGAAGCAGAGACGCUAGUUUCUGUGGAGUCAACGGUGAAAUACCACUCUGGUCGUUCUGGAUGUCUAACCUGGGUCCGUGAUCCGGAUCAGGGACAGUGUCUGGUGGGUAGUUUAACUGGGGCGGUUGCCUCCUAAAAGGUAACGGAGGCGCCCAAAGGUACCCUCAGCCUGGUUGGCAAUCAGGUGUCGAGUGUAAGUGCACAAGGGUGCUUGACUGUGAGACAGACAUGUCGAGCAGGAGCGAAAGCU
rnacentral:rRNA from 1 species